rnacentral:rRNA from 1 species
AUACGGAGGGUGCAAGCGUUAAUCGGAAUUACAGGGCGUAAAGAGUACGUAGGUGGUUUAUUAAGUCAGAUGUGAAAGCCCCGGGCUCAACCUGGGAACUGCAUUUGAAACUAGUAGACUAGAGUAUGGUAGAGGGGGGUAGAAUUUCUAGUGUAGCGGUGAAAUGCGUAGAUAUUAGAAGGAAUACCAGUGGCGAAGGCGGCCCCCUGGACCAAUACUGACACUGAGGUACGAAAGCGUGGGUAGCGAACAGGAUUAGAAACCCUAGUAGUCC